GACGUCGAUAUUCGACGUCAUAAACACGAUCAAUUUUGGUGUUUAUGACGUCGAUAUUCGACGUCAGAAACACGAUCAAUUUAGGUGUUUAUGACGUCGAUAUUCGACGUCAUAAACACGAUCAACUUUGGCGCUUAUGACGUCGACGUUAUAAACACGAUCAACUUAGGUGUUUAAGACGUCGAUAUCCGACGUCAUAAACACGAUCAAAUUAGGUGUGUAUGACGUCGAUAUUCGACGUC
rnacentral:miRNA from 1 species